UUAAACACCAUUCGUUUUUUUAAUGCAAAAAUUACAAAAAUAAAACACAAUAGAAGGAAGUCAACGAGUCUCUGGACUAGAACCCAGGCAGCAUGUAAUCUAACCCUAUUCAGGACUAGAACCCAGGCAGCAUGUAAUCUAACCUUCUUCGAGACUAGAACCCAGGCAGCAUGUAAUCUAACCCUAUUCAGGACUAGAACCCAGGCAGCAUGUAAUCUAACCUUCUUCAGGACUAGAACCCAGGCAGCAUGUGAUCUAACCUUCUUCAGGACUAGAACCCAGGCAGAAUGUAAUCUAACCCUAUUCAGGACUAGAACCCAGGUAGCAUGUGAUCUAACCUUCUUCAGGACUAGAACCCAGGCAGCAUGUGAUCUAACCUUCUUCAGGACUAGAACCCAGGCAGCAUGUGAUCUAACCCUCUUCUCCAGACACAGUGUAAUUAACCAUUCCACCCCUCCAUCUCUCUCCUCUCCCCCUAGCCCCAUUCUUAACACCGAGUCCCACUCUUCAUCCCCUCGUUCUUUACCCCUCACUUUUAUCUCCCCCACUCUCCAUCUCCUUGAGGCCUCCCUCUCUCCUCUUUCCUCCCUCUCUCCUUCCUCUCUCCUCCCUCUCUCCUCUUUCCGCCCUCCUCUUUCCUCCCUCUGUCCUCUCUCCUCUUUCCUCCCUCUCUCCUCUCUUCCUCAGACGUAAGGGAGGAUGCCGUAGACGAACAGAGCCAUGACCGCGGCGCUGAACAGCCCCGCCACCGGCACUGUGACGAACCACGCCAGGAAGAUGUUACGGAAUAACCGCCAAUCAACCGCCUUCUUGGAUCGGAUCCAGCCAACCGCUACCACCGAGCCCACCUGGUCGUCACGGCAAUGCACAAGAGGAGAAAAACACAAAACAGGAACCAAAUCAACAGCAGGACAAACGUGGGUUACAUUUCUAUCAAUUCAACUAAUAGUCCUGGUACACCAAACCUGGUCCUGGAGAAGGGUGAGCAGAUGUUGCCACAAGUUACUGCUCAAGACCUGACCUGAGAGUCAGGUGGGUUAGUGCAGGGAUAGAACAAAAGCCUGCUGUGAGCCCAGCAGGACUAGGGUUGGUUGGUGACAGACCACAGACUGUAAACCUCCUAGGUUAGUAGUAGUGCCAGCUGAUUUGAACACUUCUAUUAGUAGGUUUCUGCAAAUCAGUUAGUUGAAGUCUGAAAUUUGCAGUUUGGUUUUAUAUUUCACCCCUCCAGAAAUGGAAAACACCCAACUAGAAUUCACCCAAAUCAAUCAAUGUCAAUUUAUGUGUGAUUGUGUGUAUGUUUCCAUUACUGUAUACCUCUGCUAAAUUCAGGCUUCCACAAGAACACAUAUAUAAUCUAACAUAUUUACUCACCUUGUCUUCAUCAAAUAUUUAAUAGAUCAAGCUAACAAUAGAACAACCUGUCUGUCUGUCUCUCUCUCUCUGUCUGUAUCUCUCUGUCUGUAUCUCUCUCUCUCUGUCUGUAUCUCUCUCUCUCUGUCUGUAUCUCUCUCUCUCUGUCUGUAUCUCUGAGCGGACUGCUCAUAUACGGCCAGUGUAACCCGAGCUAGCACCCCUGUGGUGAAGAUAGCAGCAUCUAAAUUUGGGCUGGGGUCAGGAUGGACUGCCAAUGUUUCCAGACCACUCUGACACAGAAAUGAUCUGUGGCUGCGUUUACACAGGCAGCACAAUGCUGAUCUUUUGCCUAAGUAUUGGCAAAGAGCUGAUCUGAUUGGUCAAAAAUCCAAUUAGUGAAAAGAAUAUCAGAAUUGGGCUGCCUGUGUAAACGCUGCCAGUGUGGCCGGAGAAACCAAGAUGAAAGCUAGCGAACUUAACGUUGUGAGAAUGGACACGUUCCAGACAUAUCAUAUUGCAGUCGUGUUGAACACUUCAACCAAUGGGCUGCGUGCGAUAUCCUCAACUGUGCAGUUAGCCAUCAAAUUGCUAUAUCAUACAAUGUGGGUUAGCCAAUAUGUUAAAUAAAUCAUCAGAUUACUAUGUCAUCCGAUGUGGGUUAGCUGAUAUGUUAAAACACCCAUCUAGGCGUUGUAUGAGCUCUGACAGGCGACUGCAAUGCUGUCAGCCUGGAACGCGCCCCUUGUUUGAUGCCGUUUGAAGGGAGCUCAUCAUCACCAUCACUACUUUUCACAGCCAGGGUUGAGGGGGUCCACUCGGGGAUAGAUUAGCUUAGUAAACGGAGUAGGAACAUCUGGUUAAUAAACUGGGUUCAACCUGAAUGGACCCCUAAACCCUGUACCCAAACACACUCUACAGUGGACUUGAGGUGUGUCACCAGGGUCCUGUUCAUUUGGCACCAAACGGAUGACAACAGACUAAAAUGUUCAUCUUCCGUUACAAGAAAAAAACAUUUUUAUUUGUUGUUGCUACGGCAUGCCCUAAUGAAUGCCCUAACGACCCUGAUCUCAGCCCCCUGACACAUCACACAACAAAUUAAUAAAAUCAAACAAUCACCAUAUUGCAGGGACAAUAAGGACACAUCAAUCAGAAAUCAUACAGCAGACAUAGCUAGCUAUUAGCGUGUUAAAAAUGUAGUCCUACCAAGGAAGUGGAGGAGGUGAGAAAUCAAGAGAAAUGGUUUGCAUCAGGUCAGGUUGAUUUUAGGGAAAUUUGAGCCAUUUUGAAAUCGAUUGAAAAAGUCGGUUUUGUUUCUUGUGCAUUUUCCCCCAGCAGAUGAAUGUAUUUAAUACAAGGCAAAUAAAGUUAAACUUUAAAAUGUUAAAUAAAAGCUUGAAUGUAUCAAAAGGAGAACACUGACCAAGCCUUCUGUUGAAUGAAGCAGUUGAGUCAGAGUCCUAGAGGGUCAGAGAUCUAGAGGGUCAGAGAUCUAGAGGGUCAGAGACCUAGAGGGUCAGAGACCUAGAGGGUCAGAGACCUAGAGGGUCAGAGACCUAGAGGGUCAGAGAUCUAGAGGGUCAGAGAUCUAGAGGGUCAGAGAUCUAGAGGGUCAGAGACCUAGAGGGUCAGAGACCUAGAGGGCAGAGAUCUAGAAGGUCAGAGAUCUAGAAGGUCAGAGUCCUAGAGGGUCAGAGACCUAGAGGGUCAGAGAUCUAGAAGGUCAGAGUCCUAGAGGGUCAGAGAUCUAGAAGGUCAGAGUCCUAGAGGGUCAGAGACCUAGAGGGUCAGAGAUCUAGAAGGUCAGAGAUCUAGAAGGUCAGAGAUCUAGAAGGUCAGAGAUCUAGAAGGUCAGAGUCCUAGAGGGUGCAGCUACACAUGAUUGUCUUUCCUCAAUGUGUCUGUAUCGUGACUGGACAGUAUAACUGAGAAUCGGUCCCACAUGGCACCCUAUUCCGUAUAUAGUGCACUACUUUGGCCGGACCCUGUGGGCGUUGGCCAAAGGUAGUGUCAACCACUGAAUAACAGAUAACUGAAGUGCAGUGACUAAUGGUGCAUUUCAUGAAAUACCUCACGUCAUUCCUUACACAAUCCCAUUGAGCUACACAAUCAUGUUCAGAGACCGUGGGAUAAUUUGGGCAUGUCAGUACCAGUCAGGGUAGCUAUAUACACCCUAUAUACACUUUGAGAUAUCAGCUGAUGUACGAAGGGCUAUAUAAAUAAAUUUGAUUUGAUAUACCAAUUUGAACUCUGCUACCUAUGACAUAUAAUAAAUAUAUUCACUACGUCUGCUAAGUAUCGUGUGAGAUGACAUCACACACCUUAACCAAUCACCAGCGGAGGAAAAGUGCACAACGGGUCAAAGCUGCAACUCAGAGUUAUGAUUGGCUCAGAUUCAGUCUAGUGAAGCUGAUGGGAGGAGCUACGCGGCUUCACUGACCAACCAGUACGCCAAUACCUUGCAGUGGGUGGAGCUUAUUGGGAUGCCCACAUUAGAGGCAAUAAGCACUGACAGAGCACUCAUUACUUCAACGCAAAACCCACUGUGAAGAGAUGGAAUAGAGGGAGAGAGAGAGACAGAGAGAGAGAGACAGAGACAGAGAGAGACAGAGAGAGAGAGAGAGAGAGAGAGAGAGA
rnacentral:lncRNA from 1 species